rnacentral:tRNA from 1 species
CGGGGCGUGGCGCAGCCUGGUAGCGCGCACCCUUGGGGUGGGUGAGGUCGGAGGUUCAAAUCCUCUCGCCCCGA